UUGAUGAUUUUCUUCAUAUAAGUAUAAAAGUCAUUGGAGUUUCUUUUUAUUAUAAAAUUAUAUUGAUAUAAAAAUUUUCUUAAACUUUUACUUAAUGGAAUUAUUUUAGUGUAUUUAAAUAAGGAUUUUUUAAAAAGAGCUUGAAUUUAAAUUAUAGCGUGCCAGCAUUUGCGGUUAUACGAUUAAAUUAAUAUGUAUUUAUUUAGUAAUUUUUUAAUUGUUAGAUUAAGGGUGAAAUUGUAUUUUAAUUAUAGGUUGAUGAAUCUUAAUUUUAUAUUAAUGGGAAUUAGAUACUCUUUUAAGUUUUAUUUAGUAGUAUUUAAUACAAACUUUAUUAAAUGGCGGUUUAACAUAUGAUAAGGGGAAUUUGAAUUUUAAUAGAUAUCACUCUUUUAAUUUGUUUGUUUUAUAAUUAUUUAUAUCAUUGUUUUUAGAUUGUUAUUUUAUUUAAAUUGUUCUGUGUUUUUAAAUCAAGAUGAAGAAUAUAAAUAAGAUAAAUUUUAAUUACAUUGUUUUAUUUAGGAUAAUGAUUUGAUAUAUUUUGAAAUAGGACUUUAUUGUAAUUUUUAUAAGAAAUUUAAAUGAAUAUUUUAUUUAAUGUACAUAUUGCCCGUCACCCUUUAAUAAAGGUAAGUCGUAACAAAGUAGGUUUAAUGG
rnacentral:rRNA from 1 species